rnacentral:misc_RNA from 1 species
GAACUGCGAUAAGUAAUGUGAAUUGCAGAAUUCAGUGAAUCAUCGAGUCUUUGAACGCACAUUGCGCCCCCUGGCAUUCCGGGGGGCAUGCCUGUCCGAGCGUCAUUGCUGCCCUUCAAGCCCGGCUUGUGUGUUGGGUCGUCGUCCCCUCCGGGGGACGGGCCCAAAAGGCAGCGGCGGCACCGCGUCCGGUCCUCGAGCGUAUGGGGCUUUGUCACCCGCUCGAUAAGGACCGGCCGGGCGCCAGCCGGCGUCUCCAACCUUUUUUUCUCAGGUUGACCUCGGAUCAGGUAGGGAUACCCGCUGAACUUAAGC